rnacentral:rRNA from 1 species
UGGGGAAUAUUGGACAAUGGGCGCAAGCCUGAUCCAGCCAUGCCGCGUGUGUGAAGAAGGUCUUCGGAUUGUAAAGCACUUUAAGUUGGGAGGAAGGGCAGUUACCUAAUACGUAUCUGUUUUGACGUUACCGACAGAAUAAGCACCGGCUAACUCUGUGCCAGCAGCCGCGGUAAUACAGAGGGUGCAAGCGUUAAUCGGAAUUACUGGGCGUAAAGCGCGCGUAGGUGGUUUGUUAAGUUGGAUGUGAAAUCCCCGGGCUCAACCUGGGAACUGCAUUCAAAACUGACAAGCUAGAGUAUGGUAGAGGGUGGUGGAAUUUCCUGUGUAGCGGUGAAAUGCGUAGAUAUAGGAAGGAACACCAGUGGCGAAGGCGACCACCUGGACUGAUACUGACACUGAGGUGCGAAAAGCGUGGGGAGCAAACAGGAUUAGAUACCCAAGUAGUCCCUGAGCGGGCUGGCAAGGCGCAU